rnacentral:rRNA from 1 species
UUUGAUCCUGGCUCAGAACGAACGCUGGCGGCGUGCUUAACACAUGCAAGUCGAACGUGAUUGGAAGCUUGCUUCCAUGGAAGUGGCGCACGGGUGAGUAACGCGUGGAUAACCUGCCCUGGUAUCCGGAAUAACAUCUCGAAAGGGGUGCUAAUACCGGAUAAGCCUACGGAGCCUUCGGUCUCUGCAGGAAAAGGUGGCCUCUAUUUAUAAGCUACCGUAUCAGGAUGGGUCCGCGUACCAUUAGCUAGUUGGUGGGGUAAUGGCCUACCAAGGCGACGAUGGUUAGCUGGUCUGAGAGGAUGAUCAGCCACACUGGAACUGAGACACGGUCCAGACUCCUACGGGAGGCAGCAGUGGGAAUUUUGCGCAAUGGGGGAAACCCUGACGCAGCAACGCCGCGUGAGUGAUGAAGGCUUUCGGGUCGUAAAGCUCUGUCAGAGGGGAAGAAAUGGGUCUGGCUAAUAUCCAGAUUCCUUGACGGUACCCUCAAAGGAAGCACCGGCUAACUCCGUGCCAGCAGCCGCGGUAAUACAU